CCUACGGGUGGCAGCAGUCGAGAAUUAUUCACAAUGGGGGAAACCCUGAUGGUGCGACGCCGCGUGGGGGAAUGAAGGUCUUCGGAUUGUAAACCCCUGUCAUGUGGGAGCAAAUUAGCAAGAUAGUACCACAAGAGGAAGAGACGGCUAACUCUGUGCCAGCAGCCGCGGUAAUACAGAGGUCUCAAGCGUUGUUCGGAAUCACUGGGCGUAAGGCGUGCGUAGGCGGUUUCGUAAGUCGUGUGUGAAAGGCUGGGGCUAAACCCGCGGACGGCAAAUGAUACUGCGAGACUAGAGUAAUGGAGGGGGAACCGGAAUUCACGGGGUAGCAGGGAAAGGGG
rnacentral:rRNA from 1 species